UGCGAAGGGGGCUAGCGUUGCUCGGAAUUACUGGGCGUAAAGGGCGCGUAGGCGGACAUUUAAGUCAGAGGUGAAAGCCCAGGGCUCAACCUUGGAAUUGCCUUUGAUACUGGAUGUCUUGAGUUCGGGAGAGGUGAGUGGAAUGCCGAGUGUAGAGGUGAAAUUCGUAGAUAUUCGGAGGAACACCAGAAGCGAAGGCGGCUCACUGGCCCGAUACUGACGCUGAGGCGCGAAAGCGUGGGGAGCAAACAGG
rnacentral:rRNA from 1 species